AGUGAACGCUGGCGGUAGGCCUAACACAUGCAAGUCGAACGGCAGCACAGUAAGAGCUUGCUCUUACGGGUGGCGAGUGGCGGACGGGUGAGGAAUACAUCGGAAUCUACUUUUUCGUGGGUGAUAACGUAGGGAAACUUACGCUAAUACCGCAUACGACCUACGGGUGAAAUCAGGGGAUCUUCGGACCUUGCGCGAUUGAAUGAGCCGAUGUCGGAUUAGCUAGUUGGCGGGGUAAAGGCCCACCAAGGCGACGAUCCGUAGCUGGUCUGAGAGGAUGAUCAGCCGAACUGGAAAGGAGACACGGUCCAGACUCCUACGGGAGGCAGCAGUGGGGAAUAUUGGACAAUGGGCGAAAGCAUGAUCCAGCCAUACCGCGUGGGUGAAGAAGGCCUUCGGGUUGUAAAGCACUUUUGUUGGGAAAGAAAAGCAGAAGGUUAAUACCACGAUGUUCUGACGGUACCCAAAGAAUAAGCACCGGCUAACUUCGUG
rnacentral:rRNA from 1 species